AUUGAACGCUGGCGGCGUGCCUAAUACAUGCAAGUCGAACGGAGUGGCUCACGGGUGAGUAAUGUAUAGCUAAUCUGCCCUACACUAGAGGACAACAGUUGGAAACAGCUGCUAAUACUCUAUAAUGUAGGUUGAGGCUAUAUUGUAUCAGCUAGUUGGUGAGGUAAUGGCUCACCAAGGCUAUGACGCAUAACUGGUCUGAUAGGAUGAUCAGUAACACUGGAACUGAGACACCGUCCAGACACCUACGGGAGGCAGCAGUAGGGAAUACUGCUCAAUGGGGGAAACCCUGAAGCAGCAACGCCGCGUGGAGGAUGACACUUUUCGGAGAGUAAACUCCUUUUGUUAGGGAAGCGGUACCUAACGAAUAAGCACCGGCUAACUACGUGCCAGCAGCCGCGGUAAUUC
rnacentral:rRNA from 1 species